CAGGUGGUAGUUUAACAGAAUGUUAGUUUUGGGAACUAAAGGCCCUAAAUAGAUAGGUUACCUGA
rnacentral:tRNA from 1 species